rnacentral:rRNA from 1 species
AACGAACGCUGGCGGCAGGCCUAACACAUGCAAGUCGAGCGCCCUUUCGGGGGAGCGGCGGACGGGUGAGUACCGCGUGGGAAUAUGCCCUUCUCUACGGAAUAGCCUCGGGAAACUGAGAGUAAUACCGUAUACGCCCUGUGGGGGAAAGAUUUAUCGGGGAAGGAUUAGCCCGCGUUGGAUUAGGUAGUUGGUGGGGUAAUGGCCUACCAAGCCGACGAUCCAUAGCUGGUUUGAGAGGAUGAUCAGCCACACUGGGACUGAGACACGGCCCAGACUCCUACGGGAGGCAGCAGUGGGGAAUCUUAGACAAUGGGGGCAACCCUGAUCUAGCCAUGCCGCGUGAGUGACGAAGGCCUUAGGGUUGUAAAGCUCUUUCAGCUGGGAAGAUAAUGACGGUACCAGCAGAAGAAGCCCCGGCUAACUCCGUG